rnacentral:rRNA from 1 species
UAUCCUAGAGUGUGUUCGGAGACUCCGACGUUGAUAGGUCAGGUGUGACAGUGCUUUGAGGCAUUGAGCUAACUGAUACUAAUUGCCCGUGAGGCUUAACCAUACAACACCCAAGGGGUUU